UUUCUACUCCUUCCGUCCCAAAACUUUUGCCAUAGAUUUAUCUAGAUAUUAAUGUAUUUAGUCACAUUUUAAUAUUUAAAUACAUUCAUUUCUAUACAAAACUAAGACAACAAUUUUGGGACUGAGGGAGUAAUAA
rfam:Hordeum vulgare subsp. vulgare, WGS project CAJW01000000 data, contig: morex_contig_43203